rnacentral:rRNA from 1 species
UACGAAGGGUGCUAGCGUUGUUCGGAAUUACUGGGCGUAAAGCGCACGUAGGCGGUCUUUUAAGUCGGGGGUGAAAUCCUGGAGCUCAACUCCAGAACUGCCUUCGAUACUGGAAGACUUGAGUCCGGGAGAGGUGAGUGGAACUGCGAGUGUAGAGGUGAAAUUCGUAGAUAUUCGCAAGAACACCAGUGGCGAAGGCGGCUCACUGGCCCGGUACUGACGCUGAGGUGCGAAAGCGUGGGGAGCAAACAGG